rnacentral:rRNA from 1 species
AUUGAACGCUGGCGGCAGGCCUAACACAUGCAAGUCGAGCGGAUGAAGAGAGCUUGCUCUCUGACUCAGCGGCGGACGGGUGAGUAAUGCUUAGGAAUCUGCCUAUUAGUGGGGGACAACAUUCCGAAAGGAAUGCUAAUACCGCAUACGUCCUACGGGAGAAAGCAGGGGAUCUUCGGACCUUGCGCUAAUAGAUGAGCCUAAGUCGGAUUAGCUAGUUGGUGGGGUAAAGGCUCACCAAGGCGACGAUCCGUAACUGGUCUGAGAGGAUGAUCAGUCACACUGGAACUGAGACACGGUCCAGACUCCUACGGGAGGCAGCAGUGGGGAAUAUUGGACAAUGGGCGAAAGCCUGAUCCAGCCAUGCCGCGUGUGUGAAGAAGGUCUUCGGAUUGUAAAGCACUUUAAGUUGGGAGGAAGGGCAGUAAGUUAAUACCUUGCUGUUUUGACGUUACCAACAGAAUAAGCACCGGCUAACUUCGUGCCAGCAGCCGCCGUAAGAC